rnacentral:rRNA from 1 species
CUACGGGCGGCAGCAGUGAGGAAUAUUGCACAAUGGGGGGAACCCUGAUGCAGCAACGCCGCGUGGAGGAUGACGCAUUUCGGUGUGUAAACUCCUUUUAUAUGUCAAGAAAAUGACGGUAGCAUAUGAAUAAGCACCGGCUAACUCCGUGCCAGCAGCCGCGGUAAUACGGGAGGGUGCAAGCGUUACUCGGAAUCACUGGGCGUAAAGGACGCGUAGGCGGGUUGGAAAGUCAGGUGUGAAAUCCUACAGCUUAACUGUAGAACUACACUUGAAACUUCUAAUCUAGAGUAUGGGAGGGGGAGAUGGAAUUAGUGGUGUAGGGGUAACAUCCGUAGAUAUCACUAGGAAUACCUAAAGCGAAGGCGAUCUCCUGGAACAUUACUGACGCUAAGGCGUGAAAGCGUGGGGAGCAAACAGGAUUAGAUACCCGCGUAGUC